rnacentral:misc_RNA from 1 species
GAUCUUCUGUAAGGUCGAGGUACUUCCCCAGUUGGGCUGCUCCAUAUUUUGAGUUCGAUAUUUCCCACUGUAUCAUAUCUCAAUAAAUAUUAUGUUUUUGAACUGACUAACUUUUAUUUGAAAAUAUUGAUUCCGAUAAUGAAGAAUAGGAUAACCAAUACCGAUUAGAUGGAUUUUAAGACAUAUUUUGUUUUUGACAGCCGGUGGAAGCACUAAUUGAUUAACUAACUAGGAAUGAUUUUUUGUUUGUUGAUUGUGUAUAGUUGAUAAACUUUUAUUAUUUUAAAGGAUAAUUAUAAAGGAGACUAUGGUGAUGACUAUGGGCAACACACACGAGUUGACGCCAUUUUUGGCGUGAACUUGUGGAGGCCUAUGGCCAACAGUGUACUGUAAAGGCUGAAGUGAUGAUGCAGUGAUAAAGGAGCCCCCAAUAAAAUCCUAAAAGUAAGACAUAAUAAAUACAAACCUCAUAUAUAAUAAUAAAAACAUGUUACAAAUUACAAAUUUAUUGGCUCUGUUAAACCGUUUUCUUACAAAACUUACAUACAUGCAUACUAUUACAAUAAAAACAAUAAAAAUACUUUAAUUCUAAGCACUUUUUAAUUUAUUAUACAUAUGGUUAUAAGUAGUAAAUGCUUACACUAUAAAAUAAAGGCCGUAAUAAUCCUGGCUCUGGUAUCUUAUACAUACCUGUUGGGAACCAUAUGCAUUUUGAUGUCUGAAACACUCCAAAGAUCCAACGUCAGAAAUUUUUUGAUAACUUACACUCACUCGCAGGUAAUUGUGCCAAAAUUACUGCAUAUGAUUUGACUAUAUUUAUAAGGGAAUAACACAGAGAUACUAAACUAUAUCUAUAGUCAACGCGAAUAGCGUUAAAACAAUAGCAAAAUAUAAAACUAUUAUUAACUUCAUAUUAAUUAAUAAUAAAGCACUUAAAAAGAAAGAAUAAAGUGUCAUAUUUUUGAUAAAACCGAAAACGAUGUCUCGAAAUCCGAUAACUACUAUUUCGUACCGUUCGUUUACACAGGUAAAAUUGGAAAAUAUAAUCUUUAAAUAGUAAAUUUUAAAUUAUUAUUUCGUUAUUAUUGUCAAAAUCUUUUUUUUUAAAUGAGUCUACCUAAAUUGUUUGUUCUUGUAUAUUCAGUUAUAUUUUGAUAUACAACCGUCAUAUUACUUUAGCAUUUAAGGAUUUUUGAUAUUACACCAUAUCAGCCAGGUAGUGCCUUGAUCAUGGUCAAAUAUUAAGAUUAUUUAAUUUUGGUAAAAUCGCUUCCGAAAUGGGCGAUGUCACGUUCAUGUUGCGUCUGCCGCCAAAUACUGAUAUUUUGGACGACCGGUAUAAGGUGUGGACCCACCCCACUUAUAUGAAUUAAUUCUCGCUAAAAUAUUCUGUAGUUGUAGAUUUAGCAUCAUCUAUUUCAAGGUCUGGCCUCAACUUGGUGUAAUGUAAAUAAUCCUUUACAGUUGUUUAUAAAACAAUCGGUAGAAAAUUUUGUUUAAACAUGUUUCCUGUUUUAAACUUCAAGUGUGUGGAGGGGAUUAGUUAUACUUAUUUCCAUAGACAAUACUUUGAUUAAACAUAAGCGUUUUUGUUAUCUUUUAUAGGUUCCAAGGUAGGCGUUGCAGCUCGGACAGUAAUGAUCAGCGUUUAGGCAAGAAUUGACACAAUAUGGAACGCAAACGCAAGGCCAGCAUCUGAAAUAGGAAAAAAAUAAAUAAAUAAAUAUACUCAAAAAUAGCAUAAACAUUCUUUGGAACGCCAAUAACAACAGUAAUAUAAUGGCAUUGCGUCCUCGUGAUAAUUUUGUUUUAUCGUCACAUAGUUAAAAUUUUGACUUAUCACGUUUUUUUAGAAUUGUCUUUUUCUUCAAGGAGUGUCACUCUCAUCUUAUUAAUAACUAAUCAUUUAUAUAAGUUAGUGUAUGUUGUUAUUUUACGAAUUAGUUCCUUAGAAUCUUAAUUUAG